CCUACGGGUGGCAGCAGUGAGGAAUAUUGGUCAAUGGGCGUAAGCCUGACCCAGCAAAGUCGCGUGAGUGAUGAAGGUUCUAUGGUUCUUAAAUCUCUUUUUUAAGGGAAUAAAGUGUGGGGCUUGUCUCGUUUUAUAUGUACCUUAUCAAUAUGGCACGGCUAACUCCGGUCCAGCAGCCGCGGUAAUACGGAGGAUCCGCGCGUUGUCCGGAUUUAUUGGGUUUAAAGGGGGCGUAGGCGGCCUUUUAAGUCAGUGGUGAAAGUCUGUGGCUCAACCAUAGAAUUGCAGUUGAAACUGGAGGGCUUGAGUAUGUUAGAGGCAGGCGGAAUGCGUGGUGUAGCGGUGAAAUGCUUAGAUAUCACGCAGAACCCCAAUUGCGAAGGCAGCCUGCCAGGCCAUGACUGACGCUGAGGCACGAAAGCGUGGGGAGCAAACAGGAUUAGAUACCCCGGUAGUC
rnacentral:rRNA from 1 species